rnacentral:rRNA from 1 species
CGAAAGCCUGACGGAGCAACGCCGCGUGUGGGAAGAAGGCUCUUGGGCUGUCAACCACUUUUCUCAGGGAAGAAGUCCUGACGGUACCUGAGGAAUCAGCCUCGGCUAACUCCGUGCCAGCAGCCGCGGUAAGACGGAGGAUGCAAGCGUUAUCCGGAAUUAUUGGGCGUAAAGCGUCCGCAGGCGGCUAAUUAAGUCUGCUGUCAAAGCCCACAGCUCAACUGUGGAUCGGCGGUGGAAACUGGUUAGCUUGAGUGCGGUAGGGGUAGAGGGAAUUCCCGGUGUAGCGGUGAAAUGCGUAGAGAUUGGGAAGAACACCGGUGGCGAAAGCGCUCUACUGGGUCGCACCUGACCCUCAGGGACGAAAGCUAAGGUAGCG